rnacentral:rRNA from 1 species
GACGAACGCUGGCGGCGUGCCUAAUACAUGCAAGUAGAACGCACAGUUUAUACCGUAGCUUGCUACACCAUAGACUGUGAGUUGCGAACGGGUGAGUAACGCGUAGGUAACCUGCCUGGUAGCGGGGGAUAACUAUUGGAAACGAUAGCUAUACCGCAUAAUAUUGAUUAUUGCAUGAUAAUUGAUUGAAAGAUGCUAUUGCAUCACUACCAGAUGGACCUGCGUUGUAUUAGCUAGUAGGUGAGGUAACGGCUCACCUAGGCGACGAUACAUAGCCGACCUGAGAGGGUGAUCGGCCACACUGGGACUGAGACACGGCCCAGACUCCUACGGGAGGCAGCAGUAGGGAAUCUUCGGCAAUGGACGAAAGUCUGACCGAGCAACGCCGCGUGAGUGAAGAAGGUUUUCGGAUCGUAAAGCUCUGUUGUAAGAGAAGAACGGGUGUGAGAGUGGAAAGUUCACACUGUGACGGUAUCUUACCAGAAAGGGACGGCUAACUACGUG